rnacentral:rRNA from 1 species
UACGUAGGUGGCAAGCGUUGUCCGGAUUUACUGGGCGUAAAGGGCGUGCAGGCGGUUUGUUAAGUGCAGGGUGAAAGCUCCCGGCUCAACUGGGAGAGGUCCUUGCAUACUGGCAAACUCGAGGGAGGCAGAGGAAAGUGGAAUUCCCGGUGUAGUGGUGAUAUGCGUAGAUAUCGGGAGGAACACCUGGUCGGCGAAGGCGGAGCUUUCGUCGGGUCC